rnacentral:tRNA from 1 species
UCCCGGCUAGCUCAGUUGGUAGAGCGACAGACUCUUAAUUAAGUCUGGAUGCAUGUGCAUUCAACAAUCUGUAGGUCCAGGGUUCGAGCCCCUGGUUGGGAG